rnacentral:ncRNA from 1 species
UCUCAAGCGUGAGGUAAGGGCAAUUGGUGGAUGCCUUGGCGCAUACAGGCGAUGAAGGACGUGGCACGCUGCGAUAAGCGUGGGGGAGCUGUGAGCAGGCUUUGAUCCCACGAUUUCCGAAUGGGGAAACCCACCUAAUCCGAUUAUCCUGGUCGUGAGUAAUCACGGUUUGGGUAAUUGGAAAAAGGUAUCACCUAGCUGAAUAAAAUAGGCUUCGUGAAGCGAACCCGGCGAACUGAAACAUCUCAGUAACCGGAGGAAAAGACAUCAAC